CGGGACUAGAGGACAGCUGUGGGAGUCAGGCUGCCUGGGUUUCAAUCUUGGUUCCCUCGUUUUCCACCUGUUUGAUUUCAUGCAGGAAGAGACAGAAAAAAAGGCCAUGUGAGGACAUAGCAAGAAGGCAGCUGUCUGCAAGACAAGGAGAGAGGCCUCAGGAGAAACAACCCUGCUGACACUAUGGCCUUGAACUUCCAGCCUCCAGAACUGGAAAACCACAUAAACUUUAAAAGAACUACAUAGAAUUGCCUGAACAUCAUACGGAUCACCAGAGGGCAAGUGGAGCUAUAAAAAAAGAUUGGAGACAACUUCAAAGGCCUGGAGUAGCCAGCAUGUGAAGCAGCAGAAUCACAUCUAGCAAUUCGAAUCAUCACAUAGCACCUUUAUCAAGACUUUGAACUAUCUUCAAAGAAAGAGAAGCUUUACUUCUUGGAGGCAGAAAUACAGAAGCAUGGAUAAGGAUGAUACUUAACUACACAGACGGACCUGGAGAACAUUAUGCUCCGUGAAGUGCACAUCUGUUUAUUUGUGGACUCCCAGUGGAAGAAUAACCAAGAGUUUAACAUCAACUAUGCUUUUAGUAAUCCAGGAAAUUACAACCUACCAAGAAGCAAACUUCUUCCUCUACACAACAAACAUUUAGGAGAGAAAAAUCUAGGGCUGGGAAGGGCGAUGAGUCAAAGGAGAUAUUCUGGGAUACUUUGACACAACAGAAGAUCUUAAUUUAGAAAAGGAGGGAGGCUAAGAGUUACUCAAUGUUUCCAGUAUCGAGAAAGCAAGAACCAAGUGUUCCCAGAGAAUUUGUCAAAGCUCCCUUCAGGUAAAAUGCAUUCAUACUGAUAGAUGGUUUCAAACAUGCCUCUCUAACAGUCAUUUCUAAGCUGUUUCAUAUUCAUGUGGCGUGCAGUGAGAUGUCUGCCACAGACCAUGCGCCUUUACUGUAUGGUGCUUUAGCACUCAGAACAUUGCUAACAAACUUGACAUUUUUAUUUGUACUGUUGAUGCGGGGUCAGUGAG
rnacentral:lncRNA from 1 species